CCUACGGGAGGCAGCAGCAGGGAAUUUUGCACAAUGGGCGAAAGCCUGAUGCAGCGACGCCGCGUGCGGGAUGAAUGCCUUCGGGUUGUAAACCGCUUUCAGGAGGGACGAAGCGAAAGUGACGGUACCUCCAGAAGAAGCCCCGGCCAACUACGUGCCAGCAGCCGCGGUAAUACGUAGGGGGCGAACGUUGUCCGGAUUUAUUGGGCGUAAAGAGCUCGUAGGCGGCUCAGCAAGUCGGCCGUGAAAACCCGGGGCUCAACCCCGGGACGCCGGUCGAAACUGCUGUGGCUAGGGUCCGGUAGAGGAGAGUGGAAUUCCCGGUGUAGCGGUGGAAUGCGCAGAUAUCGGGAGGAACACCAGUAGCGAAGGCGGCUCUCUGGGCCGGUACCGACGCUGAGGAGCGAAAGCUAGGGGAGCGAACAGGAUUAGAUACCCUGGUAGUCCUAGCCGUAAACGUUGGGCACUAGGUGUGGCGGACUCAUUGACGUCUGCCGUGCCGCAGCUAACGCAUUAAGUGCCCCGCCUGGGGAGUACGGUCGCAAGGCUAAAACUCAAAGGAAUUGACGG
rnacentral:rRNA from 1 species